GUGUCAGCAGCCGCGGUAAGACAGAGGUUGCAAGCGUUGUUCGGAAUUACUGGGCAUAAAGCGCACGUAGGCGGUCCACUAAGUCAUGUGUGAAAUCCCCCGGCUCAACCGGGGAAUGGCGCCUGAUACUGGUGGACUCGAGAUCGGUAGGGGUGAGUGGAACUCCAGGUGGAGCGGUGAAAUGCGUAGAUAUCUGGAGGAACACCGGUGGCGAAAGCGACUCACUGGACCGACACUGACGCUGAGGUGCGAAAGCUAGGGUAGCAAACGGGAUUAGAUACCCCGGUAGUCC
rnacentral:rRNA from 1 species